UGGGGAAUAUUGCACAAUGGGCGCAAGCCUGAUGCAGCCAUGCCGCGUGUAUGAAGAAGGCCUUCGGGUUGUAAAGUACUUUCAGAGGGGAGGAAGGCGAUAAGGUUAAUAACCUUGUCGAUUGACGUUACCCGCAGAAGAAGCACCGGCUAACUCCGUGCCAGCAGCCGCGGUAAUACGGAGGGUGCAAGCGGUAAUCGGAAUUACUGGGCGUAAAGCGCACGCAGGCGGUCUGUCAAGUCGGAUGUGAAAUCCCCGGGCUCAACCUGGGAACUGCAUUCGAAACUGGCAGGCUAGAGUCUUGUAGAGGGGGGUAGAAUUCCAGGUGUAGCGGUGAAAUGCGUAGAGAUCUGGAGGAAUACCGGUGGCGAAGGCGGCCCCCUGGACAAAGACUGACGCUCAGGUGCGAAAGCGUGGGGAGCAAACA
rnacentral:rRNA from 1 species